UCCGUAGGUGAACCUGCGGAAGGAUCAUUAUUGAAUCCUUAGGAUGUCGCUGGCCUUUGGUAACAAAGGCAUGUGCACUCCGCCUUUCAAUCCACCUGUGCACUUAUUGUAGGUUGUAAAGGGGAAACUCUUUCAAUCUGCGUAUUUUUACACACACUUUAAUGUAUCAGAAUGUAACUUAGUAGACCUUUUUGGUCGAAAACCUAAUACAACUUUCAACAACGGAUCUCUUGGUUCUCGCAUCGAUGAAGAACGCAGCGAAUUGCGAUAUGUAAUGUGAAUUGCAGAAUUCAGUGAAUCAUCGAAUCUUUGAACGCACCUUGCGCCCUUUGGUAUUCCGAAGGGCAUGCCUGUUUGAGUGUUAUUAAUACCUCACUCUUGAAGUCUUUUAUUGGAUUUCAAGAUGUGGACUUUGGAGGUUUGCAGGCUAUCACUAGUCAGCUCCUCUUAAAUGUAUUAGCGGAACUCUAUGCAGUACCGGCUUCAGUUUGAUAAUCCUAUCUAUGCUGUCGCUGUGAACUGUGAUGUUUGGCUUAUAAUUGUCUUCGGGACUGGCUAUUCUAGGCAUAAUUUAAGGCUUAACCUCAAAUCAGGGUAGGGACUACCCGGCUGAACUUAAGGCAUAUCAAUAAGGCGGGGAGGGGAAGGGUCGGACUG
rnacentral:rRNA from 1 species